rnacentral:rRNA from 1 species
AGGGCGUGGUAGUCGCGUGCUCUAGACCCGAAGCGGGGUGAUCUACCCAUGGCCAGGGUGAAGCGCCGGUAAGACGGUGUGGAGGCCCGAACCCACCAGGGUUGAAAACCUGGGGGAUGAGCUGUGGGUAGGGGUGAAAGGCCAAUCAAACUCCGUGAUAGCUGGUUCUCCCCGAAAUGCAUUUAGGUGCAGCGUCGCGUGUUACUCACCGGAGGUAGAGCACUGGUUGGCCUAGGGGGCCUACAAGCUUACUGAAGUCAGCCAAACUCCGAAUGCCGGUGAGCUCGAGCGCGGCAGUGAGACUGCGGGCGAUAAGGUUCGUAGUCGAGAGGGAAACAGCCCAGAUCGCCGGCUAAGGCCCCUAAGCGUGCGCUAAGUGGGAAAGGAUGUGGGAUCGCCCAGACAACCAGGAGGUUGGCUUAGAAGCAGCCACCCUUGAAAGAGUGCGUAAUAGCUCACUGGUCAAGUGGUCCUGCGCCGACAAUGUAGCGGGGCUCAAGCGCACCGCCGAAGCCGCGGCAGCACCACGGACACCUAACGGUGGUGGUGCUGGGUAGGGGAGCGUCAUGCGGGUGGUGAAGCGGCGGAGUGAUCCAGCCGUGGAACCCGUGUGAGUGAGAAUGCAGGCAUGAGUAGCGACAGCAGAGUGAGAAACUCUGCCGCCGGAUGACCAAGGGUUCCUGGGCCAGGUUUUUCCGCCCAGGGUGAGCCGGGACCUAAGGCGAGGCCGACAGGCGUAGUCGAUGGACAACGGGUUGAUAUUCCCGUGCUCGUGUAGGCGCGUCCAUGGCGAGCCCAGGUGUGCUAACCGCCCGAACCCCAAGACUCCUUCGGGAGUCGACCGGGGGAGCGCGGGAUCCUGCCUGGUAGUAGCCAAGCGAUGGGGUGACGCAGGAGGGUAGCUCCGCCAGUGAGUGGUUGUACUGGUGCAAGCGUGUAGGCCGGCGUAUAGGCAAAUCCGUACGCCAUACAGGUUGAGACGUGACGCAUAGCCGUUGAGGCGAAGCAGAGUGAUCCCAUGCUGCCGAGAAAAGCCUCUAGCGAGUUCCUACGCGACCCGUACCCCAAACCAACACAGGUGGUCAGGUAGAGAAUACCGAGGCGUUCGAGCGAACUGUGGUCAAGGAAUUCGGCAAAAUCCCCCCGUAACUUCGGGAGAAGGGGGACCCUGUUACCUGAAGCUCUUCGCGGGCUAGGGUGGUGGGGUCGCAGAGACCAGGGGGAAGCGACUGUUUACUAAAAACACAGGUCCGUGCGAAGUCGCAAGACGAUGUAUACGGACUGACUCCUGCCCGGUGCUGGAACGUUAAGGGGACCGGUUAGGCCUCACGGCCGAAGCUGAGAACUUAAGCGCCAGUAAACGGCGGUGGUAACUAUAACCAUCCUAAGGUAGCGAAAUUCCUUGUCGGGUAAGUUCCGACCUGCACGAAUGGAGUAACGACUUCCCCGCUGUCUCGACCACAGACUCGGCGAAAUUGCACUACGAGUAAAGAUGCUCGUUACGCGCGGCAGGACGGAAAGACCCCGGGACCUUCACUACAGCUUGGUAUUGGUGCUCGGUUCGGCUUGUGUAGGAUAGGUGGGAGACUGUGAAGCCCGCACGCCAGUGCGGGUGGAGUCGCCGUUGAAAUACCACUCUGGUCGAAUUG